AUUGGACGCUGGCGGCAGGCCUAACACAUGCAAGUCGAGCGGAUGAAGGGAGCUUGCUCCUGGAUUCAGCGGCGGACGGGUGAGUAAUGCCUAGGAAUCUGCCUGGUAGUGGGGGAUAACGUCCGGAAACGGGCGCUAAUACCGCAUACGUCCUGAGGGAGAAAGUGGGGGCUCUUCGGACCUCACGCUAUCAGAUGAGCCUAGGUCGGAUUAGCUAGUUGGUGGGGUAAAGGCCUACCAAGGCGACGAUCCGUAACUGGUCUGAGAGGAUGAUCAGUCACACUGGAACUGAGACACGGUCCAGACUCCUACGGGAGGCAGCAGUGGGGAAUAUUGGACAAUGGGCGAAAGCCUGAUCCAGCCAUGCCGCGUGUGUGAAGAAGGUCUUCGGAUUGUAAAGCACUUUAAGUUGGGAGGAAGGGCAGUAAGUUAAUACCUUGCUGUUUUGACGUUACCAACAGAAUAAGCACCGGCUAACUUCGUG
rnacentral:rRNA from 1 species